rnacentral:rRNA from 1 species
UACGUAGGUGGCAAGCGUUGUCCGGAUUUACUGGGCGUAAAGAGCGCGCAGGCGGUCGUACAAGUCGCGUGUGAAAGCCCCCGGCUCAACUGGGGAGGGUCACGCGAUACUGUUCGACUCGAAGGCAGGAGAGGGAAGCAGAAUUCCCGGUGUAGUGGUGAAAUGCGUAGAUAUCGGGAGGAACACCAAUGGCGAAGGCAGCUCGCUGGGACGUUACUGACGCUGAGACGCGAAAGCGUGGGGAGCAAACAGG